UUCCCAUUAAAGUCAAUGGGAACAUUGUGCAAUAUGAGCCAUUGGAUGAAAAUGAGAUUAAAUCCUAGCCGUUAUAAUUAGGAAAAACCUUCUAGAAGGAGAGGUUUUUUUUGGUUAAUUUUGACCAAAGAAGGCCGUUUGCAGCAGUUAAGGGUUUCCUAUCUUCCGGGGAUUCAGUUCGCGUUGGUUUUAGACGACGCUCCAUGUUGUCCACUUCCCGUAAUUUAGCUGCAGUUGAAGACGGUUUUUGGGUUUGUACAAGAAUGCAGUUGUUAAAAGAGUGGGUAUAAAACUAGGUAUGAAACCUUUUCUUGCGUUCUUCUUCCUCUCUUCUCCCAGACUCCAGCAUAAAUACGAUUCACUGGUUUAAAUCGAUCGGUAUGAACAACAUCGAAAGUUUUUAGAGUUUUUUCAUCAAAAUCUACAGUAAAACGAGGAGAUUCAAACAGGGCUGUGUUGUACUUGGCUGGUAGUAAUACGACGAACUGGUGGUAUGUUCGAUGCCCUUUUCAUCACUGCCGACUUUGGUUUUUCGGUUGCCCCUCAUCCCUCCCGGGUCUAUUGAGCACAGAUUCGUGUAAAAAAUCCUUUGGAUGCUGUAAUUGAAGGGCGAAAUUGAAGCGUAACAGGUGAUGAGUUUCUGGGUUUAAGUUUUUAUGAACCGGGAAAAGCUUUAUAGUCUGCAAACAGUUUCUGUUCUCGUGAAUUAGAGAAAAUAGGCGAAGAACUUCACUUCACGUAUCAAGCAAUUUGUUUUCAAUUUGGAACAUUAAGCCAUUAAGGUUCUGUUCAUCAUAUAAAGAUAGACCACUAUUCAUCAAUCUACAAAUUUCGGACUAAAAGAACGAAGGUUGGAAGGAGAAGAAUACAUCUCCAUAGUGGACGAAUUGAUGGAAGCCCUUCAUACACGUUGUCCAAAAGCUCUUAUCUAGUUAGAAGAUUUACAAUCCAAGUGGGCUUUUGAGAUUCUUCAAAGAUACAUAAAGAAGUACAAGUCCAUUACUAAAUUUUCACCAAGAUUUGAUCUUUUUUUGUUCUGCAUGUUUUAAUUUGCAAUUGAAAUAAAGGAUUGCCAUGUUUUAAUAUGGUUAUUUAAUAAUUUUUGUAUUUGAUGUGAUGUGUUCUAGGUGUCUGAUGAAAUGUUAGAUAUGUUCAAAUGGAGCAAUUGUUUAAAUUCUCUUUGUUUUAUUUUUUUACGGUUAAUUGCCUCUUUUCUACUAAUAACUUGUACGCUUGUACACAAUUUGAGCAUAUGUAGAAUGCAUCAGCAGUAGAGUAUGUCUUUCGAUAGUGUCUCGCCUGGCUAUUAAGAAUGCCUCACUGCCGCUCAAUGGCAAAUUGACUGGAAUGGCUUUCGGUGUACCAACCGUGGAUGUCUCAUUUGUGGACUUAACCGUGAGAAUUGAGAAGGCGGCUACUUAUGAGCAGGGAGUAAUGAGAAGGCAAACUGAAGGGUAUUUUGGGAUAUGUGUGGUGGACGGUAUGUGUGUGGGUGAAGAUCCCGGUCCCGGAUGCAUCUACUUUGGUCGACCAGAUGAUUAAGUAUAGUCGUUUGAGUCUGGAUAUGGCAGGGAACGAAGGUGGGUCAUACACGCAAUCUUCCUUCUAAUCCGACGGAGGAUUUAGAACAGCCGCAAUGAGAGGGUGUUCAACCGGAAUUAUAAAAUGACCUCUGCAGUGGUGGAUGAGAUAAAAGAGUCCUGGUGGGCGACUAAAAUGCUCAGAAUCGGAAGUAUCAGGUCGACUAACUGGGCAGCUUCAGUGGGCUCGAUUUUGGCUAGGCUUUGUUGUCAGUUAGUUUUGGGGCCUUUCUGUUGUAUUGUUUUUUUCUUUUUGCUUUGUCUCUUCAACUGUCAUGAGUUCAAACUCGAUAAGUGACAAAUUGUUGCCUUUCUUAAUAGAAAAAUCAGCUGGUUCUGUUACUUCAA